rnacentral:rRNA from 1 species
CCUACGGGUGGCAGCAGUGAGGAAUAUUGGUCAAUGGUCGGGAGACUGAACUAGCCAAGCCGCGUGAGGGAUGAAGGUACAGAGUAUCGUAAACCUUUUUUGUCAGGGAACAAAGGCGGGGACGUGUCCCCGGAUGAGCGUACCUGAAGAAAAAGCAUCGGCUAACUCCGUGCCAGCAGCCGCGGUAAUACGGAGGAUGCGAGCGUUAUCCGGAUUGAUUGGGUUUAAAGGGCGUGCAGCCGGAGAGGUAAGUCAGAUGUGAAAUCCACGGGCUCAACCCGUGAACUGCAUUUGAAACUGUUUCCCUUGAGUGUCGGAGAGGUAAUCGGAAUUCCUUGUGUAGCGGUGAAAUGCGUAGAUAUAAGGAAGAACACCAGUGGCGAAGGCGGAUUACUGGACGAUAACUGACGGUGAGGCGCGAAAGCGUGGGGAGCAAACAGGAUUAGAUACCCCAGUAGUC